UAAAUCUAGUCUGAGCUUCCUUUUUUUUGUCCAACUGGAAUUAUACCAGAAUUUAGAACCUAAUAUUUGUUGUUGUCGGCAGGAUUCAGCACGAUCUGCAGUCAAACUAAAGAGUCCGAAUCAGUGUAACAGGAGCCGGCACAAAACAAGUGGUACUUGAGGCGUGACAGUGGUAAUAAGACAUUAGGUCUUCCGUAUUCUCCAUCUCAAGCAUUUGGAUUUGUGGGGACCGCUUGGGCUCAGUGCCUUCCUUGGCUAUCUACCUGACGUUCUUCAGGGGCAGCCCCACUUUAUAUCAGAGAAUGAAGCUCUACAUCGAGGACAUGUGAAAUCACGGCCAUCUCACUCUUUGCGCUGGGCAUGUGCUGCAUUUGACGAGUUGCAGCUGCAUCAGCAAAAGCUAAUGGAAUGGUCCUGUGGUCCUAUGAGUUUGGCCGUGCUGUAUUGGCUGUGGACUACAUGGCGUUUACCCUCCGUCUCACCUACAUCUUCGCCACAAUUAGUAUCCAAAGAAAAGUGUCAAAACUGCACACACAAAAAAAAGUGUUGUAAUUUUACCCGAUUUAAUAUUAUUUUCCCCUCCUGAUUGGCAGACGAAAGACAUGUUAUUUUUCCUCUUCUUCCUGGCGGUGUGGCUCAUGGCCUACGGCGUAGCCAAUUAGGAGCUGCUUUCCUCCUACGACCUUGGUCCUGGUUGGAUAUUUCGCAGUGUUCUACAGGCCAUACCUCCACAUAUUUGGAUAGAUCCCUAUACACAAAAUGUUUGGUGAAUGGACCAACCAGACCCUCAAGACUGCCAUGGGCAAGUCCCUUGAUUGCUACCAGAAAGGGUGGGAGAAAAACCUGAAGGUAAUUCUCUUUGCUCACAACAGCAGCAUCCAGGCCUCCACCGAAUACGGACGGGAACUGCAGCUGUUGACUGAGUUGUUGAACCAGAUCAGAACGCCUUCAAGGACCACCUUCAGGCACGGACUGAGAAGGAUGUGGAGGUUUUUGAUCAGACUGAACAUGGACAGGGCGAAGGAGAAACAGAAGGAGAGCUACUGGAGCAGAAUCAAGAAGGGGACCAAGUGCUUCGACAUAUGGGCAAAUUACUUGGUUUGGAAGAAGGACAAAAAGAAGGCGAGACCUGGGAAACCUCGCAGCUCUUUCGCUCCUAGAUGGGGUCACUAUCUGAUAAA
rnacentral:lncRNA from 1 species